AGGUGUGGUCAGUAUAAGACUACUUCAUGAGGUGUGUGUUUGCAGGUGUGGUCAGUAUAAGACUACUUCAUGAGGUGUGUGUUUGCAGGUGUCAUCAGUAUAAG